ACGAGGCAGAGAAGAGUCUCUCCAGAUCAGAACACCAGAUGGACAACGCUAGCCCUUCCGCCCUCCCAGAGUCCCCGUGUCGUACCUCUCCCAGUAGCACCUUACUGCUGGGUCUGAAGAGGUUGUCUGUGCGGCUGGUGGACUGCAGGAAAACAACCGGGCUGAGUGGAACUGUGAGAGGAGGAGAAGAGAAGAAAGGAGCAGAUUUGACUCAUCAAAGAUAAUGCACGGCCCCAUGUCGCAAGGAUCUGUACUCAAUUCCUGG